ensembl:snoRNA SNORA73 Small nucleolar RNA SNORA73 family
GCUACAGGGGCAAGCCAGUGUGUCUGGCUAAUUUUUGCAAAGAAACGUUUUGCAGGGCUCUGCCCUGUGACAAACAGUCCCUUUCCACAAUGUUGGAGAUGAAGCUGGGCUUCGUGUCUGCACCUGCAUAUUCCUACAGCUCCCCAGAGUCCUGUGGACAAUGACUGGGGAGACAAACCAUGCAGGAAACAUGU